AUUGAACGCUGGCGGCAGGCCUAAUACAUGCAAGUCGAACGAGUGGCGGACGGGUGAGGAAUGUCUGGGAAACUGCCUGAUGGAGGGGGAUAACUACUGGAAACGGUAGCUAAUACCGCAUACCAUGGGAUGUGCCCAGAUGGGAUUAGCUAGUAGGGGGGGUAAAGGCUCACAUAGGCGACGAUCCCUAGCAGGUCUGAGAGGCUGACCGGCCACAUUGGAACUGAGACACGGUCCAGACUCCUACGGGAGGCAGCAGUGGGGAAUAUUGGACAAUGGGCGAAAGCCUGAUGCAGCCAUGCCGCGUGUAUGAAGAAGGCUUUCGGGUUGUAAAGUACUUUCAGCGGGGAGGCGUUACCCGCAGAAGAAGCACCGGCUAACUCCGUGCCAGCCGCCGCGGUAAUAC
rnacentral:rRNA from 1 species